rnacentral:rRNA from 1 species
AUAAUGACUCUCGGCAACGGAUAUCUCGGCUCUCGCAUCGAUGAAGAACGUCGCGAAAUGCGAUACUUGGUGUGAAUUGCAGAAUCCCGUGAACCAUCGAGUCUUUGAACGCAAGUUGCGCCCGAAGCCUUCUGGCCGAGGGCACGUCUGCCUGGGCGUCACGCA